GGAUCGCAAAAUCACAUCAACUUGAUUGGAGCUAUUGAGGAACCCAAAACUCGGGAGCUUCUAGUCAGCGCAGCCAUUGACAACGCUGCAAUGACUACUACUCGAACUCCUGGCCAUCAACACCACCACCCUCAAGCACCUCCGGGUCCAUUUCCCUCAAUGAUGGACGCUGUCGAUCCCGAACCCGAGUGAAGCCAGGGUAUGUCUGUUGGAUGGCUCGGGAUUCCACAAACGAAGAACAUCUUUACAAUCAUUGGGCGUGCGAGGAUCGAGGAUCGGGAAGAAACGGACGACGACGACGACGACGACAACGACGAGGACGACGACGAGGAUGAGGACGAAGACGGACGAGGAGAGAAGAACCUCCGUUUGUCCUCGCAUCUCGACGGGGCGUCAUUGUCCACCAAACGUUCCACAGUCCCGGCCGUACAUGUAGUUAUCGAGGGUGGGAAAAGUGUAAAAGGCAUGCCGCUAAGAGCUCCAGGAGCUCCUCCGUCACCUCUAUCACCAUCAUCAUUACCACAACCAACUCGCCCACGGCCUCCACUAUCUCCAAGGGAACCAGACCAUGAGUUGAAGCCUGGCCAAAGUUUCCCAAGGAUCCCCGAGAAGAAACUCGUGAAAAUUCUCACGGACUCCUGAUGAGGACGAUGAUGCCAACAAAAGAGAUGUCAAUUGAACGAAUGUGCAUUGUGCAUGUGCGGCUUACUCUCACGAUAUCCUACACACAGCACAUUACUAUGCCUUGUGGUCCAGCUAUGAGCUUUUUACGACACAGUCAUUGCUUUAUCUGAAGCAGGGAUCAUCAUACUACCCACAGUAUGAAGGCUAUCACCCGAAGUCGUAGCUUAGAAGUGAGGUUCAAUCUAGAAGGGUUCCCUUCUUUCAACUGUCCAUCAGGAGAUUAGCAAGAUGGCCACUGAAGAAGUCCUCGCAAGAGUGAGAUGAGAGGGCAUGAUUGAAUGAAGGAACAGAGAAGAAAAAUAACUUCCACUGAAGAAGGCCAAUAAUACCACUGGCGUCAUAUGUAGUUCCAGACAUCGUCAGACAGAUCUUCUUGCAUGGAUGUACCUUUGUUACCCAGAAAAAGUGGCGAGGGUACCUCAAACUUAUAACAUGAAAGUGCCACGACUUGCAUAUUUCGAAAGGUGUCUCCCGACGGUGGGUUUAAAUAUGUCAAAUAGGCCGACGAUAAGAACACAACCACGGCUAUUAUCAUGCCAUAUAAGCCAACUGUGCUCAGUGACAACUCAACGUGAUGUAGAGAUAUGGUCGUGCUUCUCUGUAUAUCGCUGACUUUAUGUUGCUUUGUUCAUUUGGACAACUUUUCACUUUGUAAUAUCCCGCAUGACUGCCUUUGUUGUUCCACUUCUUCAUUCUCCAACGCUCAAUGUACUUUCCAAAUUUCAUCCAGCCCCAUCUGGAGCUAGCAAAUCAAAGCGAUGGAAUUGUUGAGCGACCAUGAUGAUUUACCAAAGAAUGGUGUACAAAUGCAUGCAAGCCAAGCUGUUGAGCAUUGUUUUGGCUAUCUUUCCUAGGUUUGUGUCCCCGAGCCAAAGCGGAUCUUUCGUCUCAGAUUAUGAAGAGCGGGGGGUACUCGAGCACUAUUGGCAGGACAAGUGUCCUCGUUUUGUUCCGAGGGGCUCAUCAUGAGGGGACCAAUUACUCAAGGUUGUGUGAUGAGACCCAGAUUGGAAAAUAUCAAUAUCAGAGAUGCCAGCUCAAAUGUGCCCGGCUAAGGAAAUGGGUCUCACGUACAUGGCUUCUUUUUUCUCACACGCUCGUACGAGACCACAGAACCAGCUCUGUUCAACCAAGAAGACAUAACUCGUUUUUGAGCACGUCAAUAUUCCGUGAACAAUCACGACGACGGCAUCAAUAGACAGGAUGGGAUCAAUAUGAGGUGAACGUUUUCUUUGGCUUGGUAAGACCAAAAGCGUCACGCCUCGGCCAAAGUGUAUCCAACAUAUCAAAAAGUAAAUAGAACGUUCCAACGUCUUUGCACGGGAACAAGAAGUCUCCACCGACGAUUCAAGUGCAAUCAGAAGCAAUCAUUGACCAACAAAUACCCCUCGUCUGUUUCUCCCAUGAAAACCUAUUAGCCAUGUUGUGCGUUUCAAUUUCGUGUGUGGGUGGAUCGCAUGACCAGAGGCGGUAAGGCCUUCUUGCCGUUCUUGUCAAGGAGGCUCGAACAGGACUGAGGCGAGCCCGAUCGAGGAACACCCAGCUCCCCGGGAAAUAAUGAUCGGGGGAGAUGCCCAGUUGCCAGUUGGCAUUGCCAUUGCCAUUGAGACACUGGAACCGACAGGAAGGAAGCACAUAGCAAGGGGAGAGUUAGAGAGAGAGAGCCCUCCGCACCAACCUGUCUCGGUAGACUCGUCAAUUUCUGAACAAAUAGUAGUCGAGAACGACGACCUCCAUUAUUUCCUCUCCUCCUCCACCUCCUCCUUCUUCUUCUCCUUCUCUUCCAGUUCUUGUUCUUGGUGUUAAGCACUGUCUCCCUUCCUCUUUUUUUUACCAGGAUACGAGUACUUCGAGUACUUUGAGUACUUGAGUGCUUCCCAUGUCCAGGAUACUCGCCAAGCAUUAUCUUCUGAAUACUUAUUGCCCAUAAACAUGACUAACCUGCGAACGAACAGUUUCAGAGACCAAAGACUGAAAUGAAACUCAAUUCAUGGAACAUUGAGCUCCACAAAGUUUUGUCGGAGCUGACGAGGCCAUUCGAAUUCAGACUUUGGAACUGGGAGAUCUGGAAGACAUUGCCUUUAUAACUAUGGAUCCAUGUUGGCUGAAGGCGAAGAAGAAAAGAAAAAAAAGGAGGAAGCCAAGUCAAGAGGCAUCAUCAUCCUGCCUCAGCUUUUCUCUUAGAUUGGAAGCAGGAGACCAUGCGAACUCGCCUUAUUCCUGAGAGCUGAAUCCUGAGACAAUCAAGGUCAAAUUUGAGCCCUUUCUUCCAUGUUGACUCUGGAUCAACAACUCAUGAGACCAAGGAAACGGACGAGGCAGACUAUGGACACCUCCCUCACCGUGAACCAACUUCGACUCGGACUUCUCGUGUUCACUUGUCUAUAUUGUACCAAGACAGACUAGCUGAUAUUGAACAUUCUACAGUAUUCUCACUCAUAUCGGGAAAAAGUGCUUGUUCUUGUGAGAGCGUGACAACCUAUCGGUCACAUUUUCCCUCUGAAACUUUAACAAAUGGACCAAAUUAUAGUCCAGCAAUUCUUUAGUUCUGUUCUGUGGCUGUGGCCAUAUGCUUCAAUAAAACGCAACAGCCAUUCCACAAACGGACGGACCACCGGACCACCGAGGAGCGAGUGGCCUUCAUUAUCAGCUCAAGCAAAAAGAAUGAUGAAGAGAGAAGGAACAUGUGGUCGGUGGGACGCCCUACCCAUAUCCAACCGAUCUUUGUACCAUACAAAGAUAUGGUGGACGAAUCAAGAGUGAUCAACACACAUAUGGAAUACGAACACAAAGUGCCACGCGAGAGCAAUGCUUUAAUAGAACGGAAUAAGACCAAAGGGUGCUUACCAUGACAGAAUGGAUAUGAAUGGGGAGGGAGAGUGAAUGUAUAGCACGUGGAUAGCCAAAGACCAAAGUUGAGACUCGGUUUUUUCAUUUGCAUGAGGAGUGCCAUCAUUCCUGUUUGUCAAAAUCGAACGAGUAAACUUUUUUAAAGUAAACUUGGGGGACAACCUACAUACAUACUUGGAAUGUACGAGUACUUUGUGCGGUUAGUCGUCAGAAAUUCAACCCUAAUGGAUGAUGAAAAGCAGAUGUCCAACAUAUUCAAAGCAACAUGCGGGCUGUGGGAACUCCUCGGAAUAAAAUGGACAGCCCCCGGACUUGUUCCCAAAUGCUGAGCCUCUGAGCCUCAGAAUCCCAUUUGUGACACAUUGUGGGUUUUGUUAUUCCAAGGUGCGUUAUUUUCUGGUAGUGCGGAGACAAGAGUGACAUUUAUAUUUGUGUUCGAGUUUGCACGUUCUGACUUACUGCUUCAUGCAUACAUAUCAAGGAGAGAACUUGGAUUCGGAUUCGUGUUUUCUUCUGUUUCAGCAAUAUUUACAAAAAAUGGACACGUCGAACGAGUGAGAAGCAAGAGAUGAAAAUAACGAAAGCUGCAUUUGCUAGUAAUGACAACCAACAACAACAGACACGGAGAAUGAAAGAUUGAGAGAUAAGAGAUGAAUGAGUAAUAGAAGAGAAAUUGAGUAGCAGCAAAAAGUCCAGGAUGAAGGAGGGAAACCAGCUUGCGUCCCCUAUUGGGUCCGUUAAAACCCCUUAUCCUUUUAAAUCAAUGGUCGUACCCAGUCAAGGCCUUACUCGCUUUAGCAGCCAUACAACUCGCCCACAAGGCAGUCGCAUCUCCAAAGAGAAAGAGGCCUCUCUUUCGGAUCGUUCAAUAACCUGCUUAAUGGAUGAAUGGACAAUAAUGAUGAUGAGGACGAUCCUCAUUAGAAGUAGCAGCCUGAUCACAAAGAUAGCGGAGCCAGAGGAGCAAAAUGAAGAAGAAGCCACGAAGCAUAAUGUUGUAUAGUAAAAAGGAUUGAGAGUAAGAAUAAGUACUUGUAUCAACAGUAAAGGUAGUAGUAGUCGUAGUAGUAGUAGUAGUAGUACACGUAGCAUGAAUAUUGGCAAUUUUUUUUCCAGAAAUGAAUCUAGAGCUUUUGACAGGCAGAGAGGAUGAGGACGACGGAGAGGAAGAUCAAGAUGACAAAGAGCAACAAGAUUCAUGCAAAUGGAAAGAGAGUACUUAGUCGAAUAAAAGACCGCAGCAUGUGGAGUGCUUAAGAGAGUCCUGCUUUUCUUUGGAAGCUGCUGCUAUUGCCCUGGCUUAUGCAAACCACUGGGCCUUCCUUCCUCAUGCGCGAUCGGGAAGGCCCGAGGAUGGAUCUGGCUUUACCUGAUUGAACGAAUCUGCACAACUCACACCUGUGCGAUGAGUGGCUACACUAGGGGAUCGGGACGGACGAUUUACGGCCAACUGCUGGGGAAAAAAAUGCAAAAAAACACAUUCGGGUUAGAGAACACACACUCACAGUUACGUACACACAUGGUAUUAACUAGAUACGGAUUGUCUUAUAUGGAUAGAAAUGAGAGGUGGGAGGUUGAAAUGGAUUUGGGCCGUUGCCAGGGACUGCGCUGAAUGCGCACCAUUUGCCCUUUGUCCAAGUCACAAAAAAAGCAAAUGAACUUCAAAAAGAUCCCUGUGG